GUCAACACAAUGUCAUGUAUAGCAGCUGGAACUGGAACAGGGAAAAAAAAAAAGGAAAAAAAAAUCAGGAGCCUCCUAGUACAGGCGGUAUGAGUAAGGUUGAUUGCAGAAAGUAACUCAUUUCAUCAUUUCGGUUUUGAUCUGAGACACUAAUGACUGUACAGCUUUGCAGAAGCCUCAUGAGUGCGAAGUUAAUCACCGACGGAGCAAAACCAAAGAUAAAACUAAAUCAGCAACUUCCACUUAGAAGCUGAGCUGUGAGCUCUGACAUGAAAUGUUCGGAGUUGAGAUAUUACACACUGCUAACAGCGAGGGCCCCGACACAUGAGAGCAACAUCAAAGAACAAGCGGCAAGGAAACCCAACCGUCACGUCGUCUCACGACACCUGUGUCUCGCUUAAAAAGCUGCACUCAAACGCACCACGGACUCUACAGCUGACAGCCGGCCUGCGUGUAUGUUCUGCACCUGCAUACCGCCAGGUGACGGUCAGGUAUUUGAUAACUCCAAUCGUGUGUCCGUGGAUACAAACCUGCAAACACACACACACUGGGGUGCCAGUACCUGCCUGCACACACACCCAGUAGGCUGCAACGCCAGGUUGUUUAGAAUUCAGUGUGGCCCACAGGCACAUCAGAGAAAAGGCCACGACCUCUGAGGAAUGGAGAUGAGGAGAACUCCACAGAUUUCUGCACCGUGUUCUUUUACUUUCUGACUUCCUGAAACAGAUUCAUG